UGAAACCAUAGUGGGGUAAAUGUUUUUGUCCUACUUUAAACGAAUGUGUUUGGCGGAAGGAGAUAUCUCUACAAAGAGAAAACUGAUAUCCUACUUCUUGGCUAAAUAUUUGCUGAGUGAGCAACAGAAAAUUGUAUGCCACUCAGUGCACCAGAGCGGGAAGUUGUGAGAGAAGUCUGGAAAGUCAGCAUCUGGGCAAGGAAAUUACCCUGCCAUAUAAGAAACCAAGAAAUGAAAACUGCAAGCUUUAGGAUGUAAUAAAAUAAUGACAAUUGUAUUUAUUUUAUGUGGAAUUUUCAAUUCAGAAUAAAACCUUCUAAAAAUGUU